UAAGGAAUAUUGCGCAAUGGGGGAAACCCUGACACAGCAACGCCGCGUGGAGGAUGACGCUUUUCGGAGCGUAAUCUCCUUUUAUCAGGAAAGAAUAAUGACGGUACCUGAUGAAUAAGCACCGGCUAACUCCGUGCCAGCAGCCGCGGUAAUACGGGGGGUGCAAGCGUUACUCGGAAUCACUGGGCGUAAAGGACGCGUAGGCGGAUUAUCAAGUCGUUUGUGAAAUCUAGUGGCUUAACCACUAAACUGCUUAGGAAACUGAUAGUCUAGAGUAGGGGAGAGGUAGAUGGAAUUCUUGGUGUAGGGGUAAAAUCCGUAGAGAUCAAGAAGAAUACCCAUUGCGAAAGCGAUCUGCUGGAACCUAACUGACGCUGAGGCGUGAAAGCGUGGGUAGCAAACAGG
rnacentral:rRNA from 1 species